UCAGCCUCUAGCCUCACGCCUCUUGCCCU
rnacentral:sRNA from 1 species